rnacentral:rRNA from 1 species
CGUAAAGAGCUUGUAGGCGGUUUGUCGCGUCUGCUGUGAAAACUCGAGGCUUAACCUCGAGCCUGCAGUGGGUACGGGCAGACUAGAGUAUGGUAGGGGAGACUGGAACUCCUGGUGUAGCGGUGGAAUGCGCAGAUAUCAGGAGGAACACCGAUGGCGAAGGCAGGUCUCUGGGCCAUAACUGACGCUGAGAAGCGAAAGCAUGGGUAGCGAACAGGAUUAGAUACCCUGGUAGUCCAUGCCGUAACCGUUGGGCGCUAGGUGUGGGGCUCAUUCCACGAGUUCCGUGCCGCAGCUAACGCAUUAAGCGCCCCGCCUGGGGAGUACGGCCGCAAGGCUAAAACUCAAAGGAAUUGACGGGGGCCCGCACAAGCGGCGGAGCAUGCGGAUUAAUUCGAUGCAACGCGAAGAACCUUACCAAGGCUUGACAUAUACCGGAAACAUCUAGAGAUAGGUGCCCCGCAAGGUCGGUAUACAGGUGGUGCAUGGUUGUCGUCAGCUCGUGUCGUGAGAUGUUGGGUUAAGUCCCGCAACGAGCGCAACCCUCGUUCUAUGUUGCCAGCGCGUUAUGGCGGGGACUCAUAGGAGACUGCCGGGGUCAACUCGGAGGAAGGUGGGGAUGACGUCAAAUCAUCAUGCCCCUUACGUCUUGGGCUUCACGCAUGCUACAAUGGCCGGUACAAAGGGCUGCGAUACCGCGAGGUGGAGCGAAUCCCAAAAAACCGGUCUCAGUUCGGAUUGGGGUCUGCAACUCGACCCCAUGAAGUCGGAGUCGCUAGUAAUCGCAGA